rnacentral:rRNA from 1 species
ACGGGUGAGUAACGCGUGGGAAUCUACCCAACCCUACGGAAUAACGCAUGGAAACGUGUGCUAAUACCGUAUACGCCCUUAGGGGGAAAGAUUUAUCGGGGAUGGAUGAGCCCGCGUUGGAUUAGCUAGUUGGUGGGGUAAAGGCCUACCAAGGCGACGAUCCAUAGCUGGUCUGAGAGGAUGAUCAGCCACAUUGGGACUGAGACACGGCCCAAACUCCUACGGGAGGCAGCAGUGGGGAAUAUUGGACAAUGGGCGCAAGCCUGAUCCAGCCAUGCCGCGUGAGUGAUGAAGGCCCUAGGGUUGUAAAGCUCUUUCACCGGUGAAGAUAAUGACGGUAACCGGAGAAGAAGCCCCGGCUAACUCCGUGCCAGCAGCCGCGGUAAUACGAAGGGGGCUAGCGUUGUUCGGAAUUACUGGGCGUAAAGCGCACGUAGGCGGAUAUUUAAGUCAGGGGUGAAAUCCCGGGGCUCAACCCCGGAACUGCCUUUGAUACUGGGUAUCUAGAGUCCAGAAGAGGUGAGUGGAAUUCCGAGUGUAGAGGUGAAAUUCGUAGA